rnacentral:pre_miRNA from 1 species
AAUGUAUGACGCCGUUGAUUUUUUUUCCAACGUUAGACCAUUCGUCUUAUUCAAAAAAUUUAUGUAAUUACCGUUUAUUUUAUUGUGACUUGAUUCGUCAUCCAAUAUUCUUUAAGCAUGACAUAAAUAUUUUCAUAUUUGUACAAAAAUUUUAAAUAAAACGAAUGGUCAAACGUUGGUCGAAAAGUCAACGGCGUCAUACAAU